rnacentral:rRNA from 1 species
GCGGAUCGUUUGUGUCGUCGGGGAGUUGAGUUUUGUGUGUGUGUUACCUUUCUUUGUGUGACCAAGAAGUCACCUAUUGAGCGGAGGGUCUUUGGGUUUGAGACCGGGGCACUACGAGCGGGUGUGCGCGGAGGGCGGAGGCGGAGGCGGAGGCGUAGGGCGGGUUUAGGACGGGCGGGCGGAGCGGCCUCCGCCGCCACACCUCAAGGCGGCGUUCGAGGUGAAGGAGAGCCGGCUCGAGGUAGAGCUGGGCAAGGGCGAGGAGCGGGAAGUAGGACUCGAGGCGAGGCGCGGCGAGCGCGAAGAGGUACGGAGGGAGGCGGAGGAGGAGAGUGUGCCUGAGAGGCGGCCGCUGCGGAGGGCGCAGAAGAGCCGUAAGGGCAGCGAGGAGUGGAGAGGAGGACUCCUCAGGGAGGCGAAGGAGAGGCGGCGGCGCGGCGACGGGGGAGGAGAGGAGGCGCAGCGCCACCAGGCAAGGGGAGCGGAGGAGCGUCGCAGGUAGGGCCUAUGGGAGGCGGGGCGCGAAAUGAAGGAAGCGGUGGCGCAAAGGGACGCUGCCUCUGGGGAAGGCGAGCGACGACGGGACGAGGAGCGAAAGAGGCAGCUGGCGUGUGAGGAGGGGUUCGAGGAGAAGGAACCGUUUCGGUGCCCCGAGGGUCUGGGGCGGUAGACGUGGUAAUAAGCGGCGCGGGGGCGGUAAGAGAGGAUACCAUAGCUCUGGUUGGAGUGCGGGUUCGAGUUCAAGGAGCGACUGCCGUACCCGUACCUUGGUCGGCGCCUCGAGUGGCUCAAGGGUGUGAUGAAGCGCAAGUCGAACCUCCCCUCCUAGUUCGGCUCCGUGGUUCGUAACUCCGACUCCCCGCAACUAUACAGUGAUUUCCUUUACGAGUGCUCGUCGCUACUACUCAAGUUCCUCGCCUAGAAUCUACGUUGCGACAGCUCGUUAUACGUCUCCUACACUUGGACGUGAGUCUUCCUCCGAGUUGUAUUUAACUCGACCACACAAUGAAACCUCCUAUCGAGCGUUACCUAAGUCAUUAGGAACCUCCUUCCUACCCAGGCUUCGUACUCGAGAAAUUCUCCACCGGUCAAAACCAAGAUACCACCUCGACACCCUGGAUACAAAUCCACUCACCACUAGUUGGGCUUCUCAAAUCACUAUCGACAGACAGAAAUACAUGAUGAGGGAGUUAAGCCUUAAUGAACAACGCAUUUACCUACAUAGAUCUGCAUAAAAUCAAGAUCUAUAUAGGUAAAGGCUCUGUUCAUUGAGGCUUACCUCCCUCAUGGUGAUUAGGUUUUACAUUCAGAAGAUGAGGGAGGUAGGGUGUAAUACCCUACCUCCCUCAUCUUAAAAUGAUCAGUUUGUAAAGAUUCAAACUGGUAGAUAUUUCCAUCUUGAUGGUCGUAGACAUUGUAGUCGACUAUAAAGAUCUAAAUAGUACUGUACAUGGGGGGGACAGACCUUUAUGAACAGGCUCUUUACUUAUGUUUACCUAUAUAAAUCUUGAUUUUAUGCAGAUUUAUGUAGAUAAAGAAGCUGUUCAUAAAAGCCUGCUUCCCUCAUCAAACAUUACAUUAAAAAAACUGCACUGUAUUUGUGAAAUACGUCUUUAACAACCAGUUUAGUGGUAUAACUUCUGGGUCAGGACAGGAUUUUCUCGAUCCAAAACCUAGCUUCCUUCAUCCACAAAGGUACCCUAAUACAUUUGACUUGACAACAAACCAAGUGAAAACCGUAACGUAUUAACCUUUUGGAUUUACACCUUACGAUCUAAUACAAACAAUCAAUUGGACGAGAAAAUACCGGGUAGGUGCAAACAACAAUCUUUAUUAUUAGGAACAAAUCAAACGACAAUCUUUAUUAUCAGGUACGAAUCAAACGACAAUUUUUAUUGUUAGGAACGAACCAAACAACAACCUUGUUC